AAACUCAAAGGAAUUGACGGGGACCCGCACAAGCGGUGGAUGAUGUGGUUUAAUUCGAUGCAACGCGAAAAACCUUACCCACCUUUGACAUGUACGGAACCUUUUAGAGAUAGAGGGGUGCUCGAAAGAGAACCGUAACACAGGUGCUGCAUGGCUGUCGUCAGCUCGUGUCGUGAGAUGUUGGGUUAAGUCCCGCAACGAGCGCAACCCUUGCCAUUAGUUGCUACGAAAGGGCACUCUAAUGGGACUGCCGGUGACAAACCGGAGGAAGGUGGGGAUGACGUCAAGUCCUCAUGGCCCUUAUAGGUGGGGCUACACACGUCAUACAAUGGCCGGUACAAAGGGCAGCCAACCCGCGAGGGGAGCCAAUCCCAUAAAGCCGGUCGUAGUCCGGAUCGCAGUCUGCAACUCGACUGCGUGAAGUCGGAAUCGCUAGUAAUCGUGGAUCAGCAUGUCACGGUGAAUACGUUCCCGGGUCUUGUACACACCGCCCGUCACACCAUGGGAGCGGGUUCUGCCAGAAGUAGGUAGCCUAACCGUAAGGAGGGCGCUUACCACGGCAGGGUUCGUGACUGGGGUGAAGUCGUAACAAGGUAGCCGUAUCGGAAGGUGCGGCUGGAUCACCUCCUUU
rnacentral:rRNA from 1 species